GUUAAAUACACUAUUAUAAUAUAUACUUUUGAAAACAGGUCUUAUUUCCUGACUACAAGUAUUUUUAUCUUAAAAUUGGACGAAAUUUUCUGAGGCAAAACCAAACAACAUUCUUAGUUUGAAAAGCAUUAAUUAGAAAAAUCCUUUAAAAUAUUUUACAACAUUUUCACAAAUGUAAAACCAGAAAAAGUGAAUCUUCAACAAUGAAGAGUAAUAGAAUUCUAUAAUAAGAAAUAUUUGAGUAAAAUUUGCCUAUAGAUUAUUCACCUAAAACAGAAAUGUGGUUUUUAAUUUUUUUUUUUUUUUGGUACCGGAGAUCGAACUCGGGUCCUUGUGCUUGUGCAGCAGGCGGUGAAACCACUGAGCUAAAUCCCCAGCCCUAGAAAUGUGGUUCUUUUAAUCUCAGGUUGUAAGUUUAAUUUUGAAGUGUCAUUUUCUGUGGCAGUUUCAGUAACAGAAAUGAUCAUAAACCAAAUUAUAAAAUAAUUGAAAAUCUUACAGUUUAAAAACUUUAUAGCCUCUCUUUCUGAUGCCAAACAGAACCUUUUCAUAUUUACUUCUUAGAAAUAGUUCCAAAACAUUUCAUUUUUGGGGGUGAUAUUCAAAAUAGUAAAAAAAAAAAAUCAAACCUUCUGAAAAUUAAGACAUUUGUACCUAAGUUAUGUGUCUGUUCAUUUUGUCUCUCACAGCCAACAUAGUUUCUUGAUGAAAUGAAAGUGGAGUGAUAAUAAUUAAUGUUUGUGGACUGCUAGCAAGAUACAAGGAGCUUGGGAACAUAAUUAACCCAAUAAUACUGAAGUAUUUUAGUUGUGGGAAAAAUUAAUGUUAUUUGAGUCUUUUUAAGGAAAUACAUUUUUCAUUUUAAUGCAGAAUUUGUCCACAUUUGGAAUCUUUUUGUUUUGAUACACAUUUCACUGUUUCAAGAGAAUUCAGUACUACUAGUGUUUGCCUUAUUAUUAGAAUGGAAUGUAAGUAUUUUGCUGUUUUGAAUAUGGUAUGUUAUCCUGUGGAAAUCACUUCACCAGUUUGCGUUUUAAAAAUUUUUUAGUACAGACCUAAAAUUAUUUUGGCUGUAAACAGUAACAUUUAUCUGUUUCUGAAAAUGCCAUGUUUUUCCCAGUUAUAUUAUAUGACAGAAAAUCUGUUUCCUAAAGAACAAAAAAUACAUUGCAACUGUAAACAGUCCUCUUUAUAGUAUAUUUAGUGGAUUUAUUAAUGAAUGUGUAUUGAUUGCUUCCUGUAUCAGGUGCAAUGCUGGCGUGUCUAUUUAAAAGUAUUAUUUCAUUUUUAAACAAAGCAAGUCAAGGAAGUUGAAAUCUUUCUGAAAUCAUAAAGUCGUCCUCUGAUAGGUAAGGUGUCUGCUGUACUUCUUAGUCUCAAAAUCAGCUGACUAUGUGGAUGUAGAUCAGGAUGUCCCUAUGGUGCCACUGGGGACUUUGGUGUCUUUCAAUUUGAGAAAGAAGUAGUGAUUAAAGAGUCUGUUUGUAGAAAAGAAAAGGGAAAAUGUAUACACAUUUGUUGUAACAUUAUGUCUGAUUCAUAGUGAAGAUAGUCAUUCAAUUCUUCACCAAAACUAGGGUUCAACAAGGAUGGUUUUAAAAAAAAAAAUCUAAAUUUCUGUUUGUAUUUUGUGAAAAGGUGUUCAGUAGGAAAACCUUAUUUAUAGUAUUAUAUAAAUAUAAAAUUGUGUUAAAAACUUACACUGUUUUAUCAGCCAAGAUACUGAUACCCAUUUUAAAGCAAAAUGGAACAAUAUCCAGUAUAAUAUUCUCCUUCUGGAUGCUCCCUACAAGCAAAAGAAAAUUUUGUGUCACUUUAUUUGGCUUUGGUCUGUCUCUUGUUCCAUUUCUUUAUGUGAUUUUCAGACUAAUAGACCUCUGGAUUUAUUGUCUUGGAUUUGCAAGUAUGCUAGCUGAGAACUAAAAUGUUCAUAGCAUUGUUUAUCAGAAAGAGGAAGUGUACUUAAGAUUAUUUGAUUAAGAAAGGCUUCUACAUAAAUGCACUGAAAUAAAUGCUGGCAAUUUCUUGUACUCAUUUUCUUCUUUUUGCUUCUCAUGGAAAUGUUUGUACUUUUUUAUCAUUGUCUUUUAUGAAAUAUAAUGUUCUAAAGAU
ensembl:lncRNA